rnacentral:rRNA from 1 species
UACAGAGGGUGCGAGCGUUGUCCGGAAUCACUGGGCGGAAAGGGCGCGUAGGUGGCGGCAUAAGGCCGUGGUGAAAGUCUGGGGCUCAACCCCAGAUCGGCCGCGGCGACUGUGUUGCUAGGGCACCGUAGAGGCAGAUGGAAUUCCGGGUGUAGCGGUGGAAUGCGUAGAGAUCCGGAAGAACACCGGUGGCGAAGGCGGCCUGCUGGGCGGCGACUGACGCUGAGGCGCGACAGCGUGGGGAGCAAACAGG